GAUUAACGCUGGCGGCAGGCUUAACACAUGCAAGUCGAGCGGAGUGAUGGUGCUUGCACUAUCACUUAGCGGCGGACGGGUGAGUAACGCUUAGGAAUCUGCCUAUUAGUGGGGGACAACAGCGCGAAAGGUAUGCUAAUACCGCAUACGUCCUAAGGGAGAAAGCAGGGGAUCACUUGUGACCUUGCGCUAAUAGAUGAGCCUAAGUCGGAUUAGCUAGUUGGUGGGGUAAAGGCCUACCAAGGCGACGAUCUGUAGCGGGUCUGAGAGUAUGAUCCGCCACACUGGGACUGAGACACGGCCCAGACUCCUACGGGAGGCAGCAGUGGGGAAUAUUGGACAAUGGGGGGAACCCUGAUCCAGCCAUGCCGCGUGUGUGAAGAAGGCCUUAUGGUUGUAAAGCACUUUAAGCGAGGAGGAGGCUCUUUUGGUUAAUACCCAAGAUGAGUGGACGUUACUCGCAGAAUAAGCACCGGCUAACUCUGUGCCAGCCGCCGCCGUAACAC
rnacentral:rRNA from 1 species